rnacentral:rRNA from 1 species
GACGAACGCUGGCGGCGUGCCUAAUACAUGCAAGUAGAACGCUGAAGGAGGAGCUUGCUUCUCUGGAUGAGUUGCGAACGGGUGAGUAACGCGUAGGUAACCUGCCUGGUAGCGGGGGAUAACUAUUGGAAACGAUAGCUAAUACCGCAUAACAGUAGAUAUCGCAUGAUAUCUACUUGAAAGGUGCAAUUGCAUCACUACCAGAUGGACCUGCGUUGUAUUAGCUAGUUGGUGAGGUAACGGCUCACCAAGGCGACGAUACAUAGCCGACCUGAGAGGGUGAUCGACCACACUGGGACUGAGACACGGCCCAGACUCCUACGGGAGGCAGCAGUAGGGAAUCUUCGGCAAUGGACGGAAGUCUGACCGAGCAACGCCGCGUGAGUGAAGAAGGUUUUCGGAUCGUAAAGCUCUGUUGUAAGAGAAGAACGAGUGUGAGAGUGGAAAGUUCACACUGUGACGGUAUCUUACCAGAAAGAGACGGCUAACUACGUG